rfam:Ruminiclostridium sp. KB18, complete genome.
GGGAGCCGGAUACAUCGAGAGGUGUAAGUCCGGUUCCGAGAGAGGUCUGGGCAAACCUGCCGCAGUGAUGCGGUAAGGCGGCUCUUUCCUACUCUAC